CGCCUCGCCCCGGCGGGGGCACUCCGCGCUCCUACCUGACCAUGACCCCGCGCCGGUCCCCGCUGGGCCACCCCGGCGUUUCCCGCUGAAGGGACCGGCUCCUUUCCGACCUCCGCCGCUCCCCGCCUUCUCCGCCUACUCGCUGCUGAGGCUGCCGCCUCUCCCCGGAGCCCCGCCGGAGUGAUGGGCUGCAUCGGAUCCCGCACCGUGGGAAAUGAGGUGAUUGCAGUAGACUGGAAGGGACUGAAAGAUGUGGACCAAAUCAAUAUGGACAGCACGAGUUCACUGCAUGGCAGCAGCUUCCAUCGACCUUCCACUGAGCAAACACGGACGGAUUUCUCCUGGGAUGGUAUCAAUCUCUCCAUGGAAGAUACGACCUCCAUCCUUCCCAAGCUGAAACGCAACUCCAAUGCUUAUGGGAUUGGGGCUUUGGCUAAAUCAUCUUUCUCUGGGAUAUCCCGCAGCAUGAAGGACCACGUGACGAAGCCGACGGCCAUGGGGCAGGGCCGCGUGGCGCACAUGAUCGAGUGGCAGGGCUGGGGCAAGGCGCACAGCCAGCAGCAGCAGCACACGCACGAGAGCGCGCGCAAGGACGCCGACGCCUACUCGGACCUCAGCGACGGCGAGAAGGAGGCCCGCUUCCUCGCAGGGGUGAUGGAGCAAUUUGCUAUUUCUGAAGCGACUCUCAUGGCCUGGUCCUCCAUGGAUGGUGAGGAUAUGAGUGUAAACUCAAAUCAGGACAACCCAGCAGGCAACUACUCUGAGAACUAUCAGGAGCUGAUGGAGAGCCAAGAGCACAUGGCCCAGACGCAGUAUGACAGCUGGCCUCACUCCUACGUCUCGCAGGGCAUGUACUGCUUAGGCUCCUCCGACGCCUGGGAGGCCAGUGACCAGUCCCUCAUCGCCUCCCCAGCCACUGGCUCCUACCUAGGCCAGAAUUUUGAUGAGUCCCAGACAAACCUUCAGGAAAGCAUUUUGCUUCAGAGCAGCUUUCUCCAGCAGCAGCAGCUGCAGCAACAGCGGCAGGAGCAGAACUUCAUCCAGAGCACGGGGCUGGUCCACGUGUGGCCCCUGCAGACUGCUCAGGGUGGGGGUGGAGCUGAGUCCAGCACGUACAUGGAGGACCACAUUGAGGAUGAAGGGAACCCAAGGCUGGAGAAGGCCCCUCUCCUAAACAAGAAGCCCUCUCCAGAGGAGGAUGAUGCAGUGUGCCGGGACCUGGAAUCUUUGUCUCCUCGAGAGGAGAUGGAACAUGCUGCACUGAGCCGUAAAGUCUCAGAUGUCACCUCCUCUGGGGUGCAGUCCUUUGAUGAGGAAGAGGGAGAAACAAACAACUGAUGCUUUCUGUGAAGUACUCAUCAUUGCUGAACAAAGAGAGGGGUGGCAAGGAAUGCAAUUACAGGGAUUCUUCUCUCCAGCUCCCCAUAUUUCCAGGCAGACAUACCUUCCAUUCCUGACAUUUAAUUAUUUUUUUAAACGAGGAAAAUCUCAAAGUGAUUGACACAUAAAAACCUUUUCUUCCCCUCCCCCAUGGACACAUAUUUUGGAUUUUCAUUGCUCUGGGCAACAUGUGAUGUGCUUGGAGAGAUCUGGAUUGGUUCAGUUCCUGCAUAUUUUCAGGGAAGAAUGUCUAAGGCGAACAAAAUGUCACUGGAGGAAUAUCAUCAAGUCUCAGAGUUUAGACAGCUGGCAAGCAAAGCAAAUGAUGUCCAGGAAUUGUGAAAAGUAGGAAUGGGACUCUCAGGAAGAACUUUACCCCAAUCAGCUUUUUCCCAAUGACACAGGCAGCUGCAAAAAGAGGGACUCCUUUUUCAAUACCCAGGUCUUUCCAGCCGAGUCCACUUCAAGCAGAUCUGUCUUCCCUCUCCAUUGCACCUCUAAAUGAAAGACCUCUGGGAUGUUUAAGUUACACUGGUAAUUUGGCAUAGGUAAGAGAGAAACGUUUGUGUGACCCAUCUUUUUUUACCUGUUUGCUUGGUCUUGCUUCUGUCUUUCUAAGCAGGUCGCUCUUCUCCUGGGUGAUGAGCUUUCAGUAUCUCUUCAAAGGUGUUUACACAUUCAGGUACUAACCUCCCCUGGGCAGCAAGGCUUGAUAAAAAUCAUCUCCUAUAGUUCUUGCAGGGCCAGUGGUAGCUCAUUGUCCUGAACUGGCUUGGGUCCAGCUGUGGAGCAGGGCCUGGGAAAUCACACUAGCCAGAGAUGGGGCAAGUGCCAAGAGCACUUCAGCAGAUGAGUAAAUGAGUAAGUUUAAAGCUAUUUUUAUUUCUCUUUUAAAAGGUCUUUAGGGAAACAAACAUGGUUAGGUGUGUACCUUUGUGGAGAUUUGGGUGGCUUGUUUGUUUCUUUCUCCAAACCAUUUUGUUCCCAUGUGCCUCUCCAGGACCAAUCUGGAUGUUUACAGUAACUUUCAGAGUAGCUUCUGAUCAUCCCUUUGUGUUGUUUACAGGACUGGGACAAGCAGGUCAACUUGUCCCGGGCUUCUUUUUCUUUAAGAUGGACAUGUGGUACAUUUACUAAGAUGUCUGAUUGAUGUCUAAAAGAUAUACCUUAUCUCCAUGGAAAGCAGUGUCAGGGAGUUAUCUGCAUAAGGAAAAGUGUAAAAAAAAUUGACCAUAUAGAAAAUUCUGUGGAGUCCAAUAGGAAGAGAAAAUCUGUAGAUUCUUCUAGCCUCUAUGGAAUUGGGAUAAAGAAUUAUACCCUGCUUUAUAGUUCCAUAACCUGCUGUCUUAGAAACCUGUAGAGAGCCUCAUUCUCUGUGAGUGCAGACUGGUUUGAACACCACUCUCUGUAAAAACCUUCCAGCUUACUAAAUUCUGUAAUUUUUUUUUUCAUAAAUGACUUAAUAUUCUGUGAACAAUAAAAUUUCAGCCUUUUCCUGAAAGAAAGAAAAAGGCUAUUUUCCAUACCUCCCCACAGUCCAAAAGAGCUCAUUGCUAGGAGUCUGACUAGAGAGAGCAGGUCUUCCAGUUCACACUUGCCACCCGAGUGAGCAGCCUGAGCUGAACUGGAAAGGCAGUUUGAAUCUCUUUGAAAGUGGAAAAUUGUUUGUGUAAUCUGGCCCUUUCUUACAUAACAGGCCUGCUGCCUGUGUGUAUCCAAUACCAGAGAGAGAGACCUGGAACCUCCUGUACGUUUCCCAGAAAAGCUGUUAUUAUAUAGAUACACCUAUUCAAGCAUAUGGGAGGCACAGGUGCUCUGUGAGCGAAAUUUGGCCUGCAGUCCCUUUAUCCUGGUGAGGAGGGAUGAGUUGGAGAGAGUCCAGCCAAAUAGUCAGAGCCCAAAUUGUGUUUGUGAGGCUGUAAAUAAGAAGGAAAGGUGAGCUCAGUAUCCCUGAUCUGCAGUUACUAAGAAACUGCGCUCUGCUGUUUGUUGCCACAAAUGCAUUAUGAAGCAAAGCUGCACUACAGAAAAUUUUGGAUAUUCUUGAAGUAGUGGAGAUAGAAGAUUCCUAUCUUUCCUCCAAGCCUUUGUCUUCAGUAGGAACUUGUUGAAAUUACUGUGCUAAACAUGAAAUAAGGCUUAACCAGAAGUGACCCUAAUUUAAAAUCUUCUAUUGGAAGAAAAUUCUCUCUUGUUCCUUCUCCCAUGAUUGCUCAUACCUGAUUAGUUAUACUCUUUGAUAAGCUUUUCUUUUAUAUAAAUCUGAAGCUUUCUUUACAAGCCCUCUGGGUUCUCUUCAAUUCCAUUACCUCAGGCUCUGGGACAGAGAAGUUUAUCUGCUUCUUUCAGUUUCUGUGCCUCUAAAUCAUCAUCUUCUUUUGGAGAGCUGCUGAAAUGUCAUCCACUUGCUUUUUCCCCUUAAAAAUGGUAACAUCACCUUUCAGGACAGGCUUGCUGCAGAGAACAAGUUUAGCCAUGCUUCUAAGCUGAUCCAGUGGUGAGCUGCUUUGAAGGAAGAGGACCUCUGCUCUGACCGUGCUCACCUCCCACAACCCUUGGGCAGGUGCUGAUGCACAGCUGGCCCACACCAAGCCAGGGACUUUUACCCUGCUAUAAAAGUGAAGAUGGAAGAGCUGUGAGCAGAGGGAGAGAGAAUGCUGUUCUCAGCAGCUGGCCUUCCUUUAUAUCAGGUUGGAGAAGCUGGAAAGGUGCACUUUGAAAUGGCAUCUUCAUGAUGAGUCUAAGCUGCUCAAAGGAGCUGUCCUGCCUCCUCUCUUCCACCACCACCAGCUCUGUACUUGUACUGCCUAAAAAGCACCAGCACUAACACUCAUUUGGCUGCUCAGGAACUGGCCCCAUUGAAAACUAACCCAGUCCCCUACCUAAAUAAAGGUUUCAGUGAGGUGAACUCUUCGUAUUGCUUCUCUUGGCGAGGCAGGCUUCACUGAGGGCCGGUGAAAUGUGUAGAUGGUCAUGUGGAAGACUGGUUGCAGAUGCAACUUAAAUUGGCUUAAGCUGAUUUUGAUAUGUCUGUCUGAAAAGAAUAAGACCCACUGGGGUACCAAGAAGGACAUUAUUCCCCAUUUUCUUCCUUAGUAUUUUCCUUGGAAUUUUUAGUAUGCUCUUACUUGAUUUGGUCUUUGUUAUUUAUGCCCGGUUGUUUCCCUCACUGUUCCCUUCCACAGGCUCCUUUGAGGUAAACCCUGGAAACUGGGCAGGAGGACAUGAGUAACUUGAUAUAUGCAUGAAAUUAAUAAAAUUAACAUGCACAAAUCGUGUAUGCACUCAGUGAUCAAACUCCAUGGCAGCUAAAGAUACUGACAAGUCUUAUCCUGCAAUUGCAAGAGGGGAGAGUUGUUUAAGAGUGAAGCAUAACUGUUGGAAGGGAUAUUUAUCCCUGUUUUCAGGCCAGUUCCAGUCCAAUGUGAGACUGUGUACAGCAGCAAUGAAAAAUGUUCAAUGUAGCCCUGGAGAACUGGAGAAGGAAAGUCAUCUCUCUGUUUGACAGAGGUAGGAGGUGUUGUGGUGAGGCAAGGUUGUGUGCAACAGCACAGGCUUGUGCACCACUGUGUGUGGCAGAGAGGGAAAGACAUGGAGAGAAAGGCUUGGAAAAAGGUCCAGAAAAGCCUGAUGUCUUUUUACACAACACAGGUAAGAAGCUUCAUGGCAGACUCCCAGCAGAGUGGACUGAGGUACAGAAUUGCUAUCCAAGCUGUAAGUCCAGGAUUGUUGCAGCUUAUGGUACUCCUUAGUCCAAACACACUUUUUUUUAAGACAGUGAUAGGAAGGAGACCUCCCUGAGUUUAGGUACCUGCUAGCUUUGUCUUCAUUGUCUUCAAAAUGUGCUUUGUUCUUCAGGGAAAUCAUAUGAGUAAUACACAAAAUAAGAACUUAUUCCUUGCCCAAAUGAAGUUAGUGUGAGUUCUGAUCUCACUGGAAAGCCAAAAUACCUAAAUUCAGCUUAGUUUGCCUUAACUGUUGUAGAAGGAGAAGUAAACUCAGAUAACCUGCCUGUAAAUGCUAUAAAAAGCGGAGCAACGUUGGCAAAGUCUAAGCUCUUCCUUCUAAUUUCUCCCAGGUGGAUUUUCCAGUGUUCCUUGUUCAGACAACUCUGGCAUACCUUUUAAACAAACUUGACUUUUUGUAAAAGAAAAAAAGAAAAGAAAGGAAAGAAAAAAAUUAAUUCCAAUACAGGGAUUAUCAGCAGCUUACAGCUAGAAAAAUGUAAAUAAGUAAUACUUUCAUCUUUGAUUUUCCUCCCCUGUAGCAAUCUGACAGGGAAAGAUUUCUAUGCCAUGGCUCAGGGAAAGGAAAAAUAAACAGGGAAAAUGUGAGUAAAAUGGUGCCUACUAGAACUAAAUGUAUGUGUAGGACAGCCUACAGUCAUUAAAGCACAGUCUCAAAUACGAUUGCAAGCUGCAAAGUCAAUGUCAGGUGCCUCUUUUGUACCACAGGCUUUUCCCAGGCUGAGAAGUAGUGAACCUGUGCAGAAGCAGAAGAGCUGCACUUCUGUGCCAGAUCAGUGUCUCUCUGUGUCUCAGAAUAUGUCCUGGAGCCUGGGGGCACUGUGCUCCCUGAGCAGCACAACCAGCCCCGUGGAUUGACUGGGGUAAGGCGUGAGGGUUACCAUGUUAACAAAUGGACAUGGAAGAUCUGCGCUUGCAACAUCAGGGUCUAUUUACAUCCUUGCACUGACAUUUUCCCCAGCAUAGGCAGACCAAAGUGUUAUUUUUCCCUUGGAAAUGAAGAGAAGCUCUAUGAUUGUCAGUGUUGGUCUGCACAAAAGAAAAGAAAUAUGUGCUGUAUUUUUCCAGUGCAGAUACACAUUGUUGGAAGAGGAAAAAUUUAGUCUGGUUGUGAUUCUGAGAGAGAGCAUGUUUACUGAAACUGUAAAGUCUUGUUCAAUAAUGUUUUCAGUGCAGAUACCACAGAAUCACAGAAUGGUUGAAAGGGACCAUCAAGUCCAACCCCUCUGCCAUGGGCAGGACCUACCCACUGAUGUGUAGUAGCUGCCGUCUUCUGGGAAGAGAGGGGUUACAGUGUUCUGUGGAAAGAAUGCUCCUGCUAGGAUCUUCCUCAUCUCCUUCAGCUGGGGACAUUUUAAAUGCCCUCUGAAACCUAGUCUUGUUUUUGCUUUCCCAUAAGGGAUCAAAUGUCCAUGCUUGCAAGACAAAAACAUCUAAAAAGGCUUUUCUCCAUUAUGGAAACAAGAUUGUGCAUCAAGAUUUGCUUCUAAUAAGAUAAAGGCAUGUAGUCCAGAUUCAUUGGCCUUCUGGAUUAAUUUUCAUUUGGCAUGGAAAUCCAGUCAUGAUUGGAUUGGAGGACACAAGGUUAAGAACCCUCUUCCAGAGCUCUGCCAUGUUCCCAUGAGGCAAGUGUAGGUGGAUUUCCCUUCUUUUCAGAUACUGCAUGCUUGAGCAACGUAGCAAGCCAAAAGCUCUUUUGCAGGUAUAUAUUCUUGUUUGGCUUUAAUUUUUCUUCUCUGAUUUGUGGAUGUUGUGCAUGAUUGGAGGUCUCUGGGAAUCCCUACACUAUAAAACUGGAACUCAAAAGUAAUUUUACAGGGAACAAGAUUCCUCUUGUUUCAGCUCUUUUCAGACGUGGGUGGGUACAGGCAGAGGAUUUGGGAGGUACGAGGGUGGUGGAUGGGAGUCUCAGGGGUGGCAUGCAGAAUGGAUUCCUGAAGCAUGUGUAAAAAUAACUAAAGGCUUGGGUCUUCAAAUGUUGUAUUCUCAGUAUCUGAAACUCCUUUAGCAUAAGUGUAUGGGACAAUGGAGGUUGCUGCAAAGCAGUUUUCAAGGGCUUCCCCCAAGCCUGGACGUGUUUUCUGUAGAGGGGAGGCUGCAUGGGGAUUCUCUGUAUCCUUUUCAGCUAGUGUUUACAGAGGUGCAUUGAUGUGUGGGGAGAAGGUACUGAAUGCAAGUAAAACAAAAAGGGAAAGGGACCCACUACUGAAAGCUUUCAUCCUUACAUUGUCCCACACUAGCCCUUAAUAACUAAAAUGAGUCUGAUUUGCCUUUGGUCUUCCAGCUCCAAGACAUGUUUGCCUGAAAAUUUUUGUUGGAUAUACUUCGCAUGUUUUGAUAAUGUGACUUACGAGAUAAACACUUCUACAGAGCUAUAUAUAAAUACAUCCAUGUGCAACCACCUGCAUACAUGUGCACACAUUACAUAUAGACUUAGAGAACUAUAUGGCACUACACACCUCCAUGCCUGUACGUGGCAGCAACCACAGUAAAGGAGGGGAGGUAGCUCAAAAUAGCAUGUACAGUCCUUUAUGGAGUUGUUAUUAAACAGAAUGUGGUCUUGCCCUCCUGGCUGGUGGAAGUGUUUUAUUUCUGUGGGACUGGUUCCAGGGGACUUGCGUCUCAGGAAGGAGGAUAUUAGGAAGAGGGGGUGGGUUUCAAGGAGACAGUCUGAUGGAGCACAUUGAAAAGGAUCCAUGGUGGCUUGGAGAAGCACCCCAGAGUAGGAAACACCUGAUUUCUCAUUAAGAAAUAACAUCACAUGUUUGACUGUACAGGGCUAAAAUCUGAUCUGUGUCUGUGACUACCAGGACAUGAAACCUAGGCCAGAUUUGAGAAUAGAAAUCAUCACAUCAACACAAUCCUCUAAUUUAGCACAGAGUGAGUUUCCCUGUUCUACUGAAUAAGCAUUUUCCAGGUGAUACAUACAAGUUUUGUCCCAAUACUGGUGAGAUGCAGACACAUCUGACUCAGACUUGGACAGAAAUUUCACAACAGCCCAUUAGGACACAGAAAGGUGUCUGAUGCUUAGGUUGUGAAAGGCACUGACAUUGGGUAGCACGACUCUGGGUUCACAUUUCAGUUUUAAAUGCUUCUCAGCCCGUUGUCCUCAUAGCAGAUUGGGGAAUUGGUCCACCCAGAGGAAAGGAAACAUCUCUGCACUUCCAAAAUUGUUGUGUCAUCUGCUUCUGAUUCAGGACACGAAGUAGAUCCAGUUGCUUGUUCACCGUAGUUUACCAUGUGAGACUUUUAAAUUCCAGCCAUAAAAGGUAUUAUUUCCUUGUCAAGAUAUUUGUGCUUUUCAGACUCUGUUUCUUGCAAGAGCUAAGCAGUGUCUCUUGCCCUGCUCAAGGCAUGGCAUAUUUUACAAUCAGGGCUAUUGCACUGAUUUUUACUUUCUGUGUUCUAUUUGAAUUUAAUUUGCUUCUUUCCAGUUUACCUGCUUUUGCUACCAAAUAGAUUGCCACCCACCACUUGGUAUGUAUGUCUGCAUAACUACAUUCAUAGAAUUAAUUGUGACUUGCAUAAGACACACUUAACUGCUUUAGGUUUUUGUUCGUUGUUUUUUGAGGGUUUUUUAAAAU